UACGGGGGGGGCAAGCGUUGUUCGGAAUUACUGGGCGUAAAGGGCUCGUAGGCGGCCAGCUAAGUCAGACGUGAAAUCCCUCGGCUUAACCGGGGAACUGCAUCUGAUACUGGAUGGCUUGAGUUCGGGAGAGGGAUGCGGAAUUCCAGGUGUAGCGGUGAAAUGCGUAGAUAUCUGGAGGAACACCGGUGGCGAAGGCGACUUCCUGGACCGAGAUUGACGCUGAUGAGCGAAAGCUAGGGGAGCAAACGGG
rnacentral:rRNA from 1 species